GAUGAACGCUGACAGAAUGCUUAACACAUGCAAGUCAACUUGAAUUUGGGUUUUUAACUUAGAUUUGGGUGGCGGACGGGUGAGUAACGCGUAAAGAACUUGCCUCACAGCUAGGGACAACAUUUAGAAAUGAAUGCUAAUACCUGAUAUUAUGAUUUUAAGGCAUCUUAGAAUUAUGAAAGCUAUAAGCACUGUGAGAGAGCUUUGCGUCCCAUUAGCUAGUUGGAGAGGUAACAGCUCACCAAGGCGAUGAUGGGUAGCCGGCCUGAGAGGGUGAACGGCCACAAGGGGACUGAGACACGGCCCUUACUCCUACGGGAGGCAGCAGUGGGGAAUAUUGGACAAUGGACCAAGAGUCUGAUCCAGCAAUUCUGUGUGCACGAUGAAGUUUUUCGGAAUGUAAAGUGCUUUCAGUUGGGAAGAAAUAAAUGACGGUACCAACAGAAGAAGUGACGGCUAAAUACGUGCCAGCAGCCGCGGUAAUACGUAUGUCACGAGCGUUAUCCGGAUUUAUUGGGCGUAAAGCGCGUCUAGGUGGUUAUGUAAGUCUGAUGUGAAAAUGCAGGGCUCAACUCUGUAUUGCGUUGGAAACUGUAUAACUAGAGUACUGGAGAGGUAAGCGGAACUACAAGUGUAGAGGUGAAAUUCGUAGAUAUUUGUAGGAAUGCCGAUGGGGAAGCCAGCUUACUGGACAGAUACUGACGCUCAAGCGCGAAAGCGUGUGUAGCAAACAGG
rnacentral:rRNA from 1 species